rnacentral:tRNA from 1 species
GUUGUGGCUCAGUGGUAGAGCGCUUGCCUUGCAUGUGUGAGGCACUGGGUUCAAUCCUCAGCACCACA